rnacentral:rRNA from 1 species
GACGAACGCUGGCGGCGUGCCUAAUACAUGCAAGUAGAACGCUGAAGAGAGGAGCUUGCUCUUCUUGGAUGAGUUGCGAACGGGUGAGUAACGCGUAGGUAACCUGCCUUGUAGCGGGGGAUAACUAUUGGAAACGAUAGCUAAUACCGCAUAACAAUGGAUGACACAUGUCAUUUAUUUGAAAGGGGCAAUUGUUCCACUACAAGAUGGACCUGCGUUGUAUUAGCUAGUAGGUGAGGUAAUGGCUCACCUAGGCGACGAUACAUAGCCGACCUGAGAGGGUGAUCGGCCACACUGGGACUGAGACGCGGCCCAGACUCCUACGGGAGGCAGCAGUAGGGAAUCUUCGGCAAUGGGGGCAACCCUGACCGAGCAACGCCGCGUGAGUGAAGAAGGGUUUCGGAUCGUAAAGCUCUGUUGUAAGUCAAGAACGGGUGUGAGAGUGGAAAGUUCACACUGUGACGGUAGCUUACCAGAAAGGGACGGCUAACUACGUG